rnacentral:rRNA from 1 species
AACGAACGCUGGCGGCAUGCCUAACACAUGCAAGUCGAACGAGACCUUCGGGUCUAGUGGCGCACGGGUGCGUAACGCGUGGGAAUCUGCCCUCUGGUUCGGAACAACAGUUGGAAACGACUGCUAAUACCGGAUAAUGACUUCGGUCCAAAGAUUUAUCGCCUGAGGAUGAGCCCGCGUAGGAUUAGCUUGUUGGUGAGGUAAAAGCUCACCAAGGCGACGAUCCUUAGCUGGUCUGAGAGGAUGAUCAGCCACACUGGGACUGAGACACGGCCCAGACUCCUACGGGAGGCAGCAGUGGUGAAUAUUGGACAAUGGGCGAAAGCCUGAUCCAGCAAUGCCGCGUGAGUGAUGAAGGCCUUAGGGUUGUAAAGCUCUUUUACCCGGGAUGAUAAUGACAGUACCGGGAGAAUAAGCCCCGGCUAACUCCGUGCCAGCCGCCGCGGUAA